CCUCUCAUAAGCCGGCUUCUCGUAGCCCUCCUCUUCUUGCCCCUCAUUACUUGGCCUCCCAUAACUAGGCCUCCUCGGUGGCUCCUCCACCUCCGGACUCUCGUAGCUCGGCCUCCCAUACUGUGGCUUCCUGGGGGACCCUUCCCCACCAUAACCAUACCCGCCACCUUGUUCCUCUCCGAAGCUAGGUUUCCGACCGUACCCAGAUCCAUAUUCAGAACUCGGUGCUUCGUACUCAGGCCUCCGACCAUACCCAGAUCCAUACUCCGAACUGGGCUGCUCGAACUCGGGCCUCCGACCAUACCCAGAUCCAUACUCCGAACUAGGUUGCUCGUAUUCAGGCUUCCGACCGUACCCAGAUCCAUAUUCCGUGCUAGGCUGUUCGUAUUCAGGCUUCCGACCGUACCCAGAUCCAUAUUCCGAGCUAGGCUGUUCGUAUUCAGGCUUCCGACCGUACCCAGAUCCAUAUUCCGAGCUAGGCUGUUCGUAUUCAGGCUUCCGACCGUAGCCAGAUCCAUAUUCCGAGCUAGGCUGUUCGCAUUCAGGCUUCCGACCGUACCCGGAUCCGUACUCCGAACUGGGUUCCUCGUAAUCAGGCUUCCGCCCAUGCCCAGAUCCAUACUCACCCUCCCCACCAAAACUCGACGGCGGCUUCGGCUGAUACCCAUACUCACCACCAUCACCACUGCCUCCGAACCCUCCUUGGCCAGGAGGUGGUCCGGCGUAACCAAGGACCGGACGAG
rnacentral:lncRNA from 1 species